rnacentral:rRNA from 1 species
CCUACGGGAGGCAGCAGUGAGGAAUAUUGGUCAAUGGGCGCUAGUCUGAACCAGCCAAGUAGCGUGAAGGAUGACUGCCCUAUGGGUUGUAAACUUCUUUUAUAUGGGAAUAAAGUGCAGUAUGUAUACUGCUUUUCAUGUACCUUAUGAAUAAGGAUCGGCUAACUCCGUGCCAGCAGCCGCGGUAAUACGGAGGAUCCGAGCGUUAUCCGGAUUUAUUGGGUUUAAAGGGAGCGUAGGCGGGUUGUUAAGUCAGUUGUGAAAGUUUGCGGCUCAACCGUAAAAUUGCAGUUGAUACUGGCAUCCUUGAGUACAGUAGAGGUAGGCGGAAUUCGUGGUGUAGCGGUGAAAUGCUUAGAUAUCACGAAGAACUCCGAUUGCGAAGGCAGCCUGCUGGACUGUAACUGACGCUGAUGCUCGAAAGUGUGGGUAUCAAACAGGAUUAGAUACCCCUGUAGUC